rnacentral:rRNA from 1 species
UGAUUCCUACGGGAGGCAGCAGUAGGGAAUCUUCCGCAAUGGGCGAAAGCCUGACGGAGCAACGCCGCGUGAGUGAUGAAGGGUUUCGGCUCGUAAAACUCUGUUAUUAGGGAAGAACAAAUGUGUAAGUAACUGUGCACAUCUUGACGGUACCUAAUCAGAAAGCCACGGCUAACUACGUGCCAGCAGCCGCGGUAAUA